AUAUCCCCCAGAAUCCUGCAUCAACCAACCAACCAACCAACCCCAGUAAGAUUACAUCCUCAUGCUAUUCACAAGUGAUUUAUUUACACCCAAAAAAGAAAAAUUCAACCUCUACUGUGAUGUCAAGGUCUUCCUAUGUAAAUUCUAGUCUUAUACAAUUGAAAGGGCCUGGUAAUAUUUUAGCCUGCUCUAUUGAAAAGCAAUUAAUUUGACCUUUAGCUUAAUGAUUCUAAAGUUGUCUAACCGUGCAUCAGCAACAAACUGUAAGAUUAAUCUAAAGAAUUAUAUAAGCAACAAUAAGAAAAAUUACCAUAGAGGUCCACGAGGGGGGGCCACAUCUAAAGCAAUAAAUCCACUAAUGCAUUGAGCUG
rnacentral:misc_RNA from 1 species